rnacentral:rRNA from 1 species
ACACCUGGAAACAGAUGCUAAUACCGCAUAACAACUUGGACCGCAUGGUCCGAGUUUGAAAGAUGGCUUCGGCUAUCACUUUUGGAUGGUCCCGCGGCGUAUUAGCUAGAUGGUGGGGUAACGGCUCACCAUGGCAAUGAUACGUAGCCGACCUGAGAGGGUAAUCGGCCACAUUGGGACUGAGACACGGCCCAAACUCCUACGGGAGGCAGCAGUAGGGAAUCUUCCACAAUGGACGAAAGUCUGAUGGAGCAACGCCGCGUGAGUGAAGAAGGGUUUCGGCUCGUAAAACUCUGUUGUUAAAGAAGAACAUAUCUGAUAGUAACUGUUCAGGUAUUGACGGUAUUUAACCAGAAAGCCACGGCUAACUACGUGCCAGCAGCCGCGGUAAUACGUAGGUGGCAAGCGUUGUCCGGAUUUAUUGGGCGUAAAGCGAGCGCAGGCGGUUUUUUAAGUCUGAUGUGAAAGCCUUCGGCUCAACCGAAGAAGUGCAUCGGAAACUGGGAAACUUGAGUGCAGAAGAGGACAGUGGAACUCCAUGUGUAGCGGUGAAAUGCGUAGAUAUAUGGAAGAACACCAGUGGCGAAGGCGGCUGUCUGGUCUGUAACUGACGCUGAGGCUCGAAAGUAUGGGUAGCAAAUAGGAUUAGAUACCCUGGUGGUCCAUACCGUAAACGAUG